rnacentral:rRNA from 1 species
AGGAAAGUAAAUAAGGGCGCAUGGCGGAUGCCUUGGCUCUCGGAGGCGAUGAAGGACGUGAUAAGCUGCGAUAAGCUUUGGGGAGGUGCAAAUGACCUUUG